rnacentral:rRNA from 1 species
UACAGAGGUCUCGAGCGUUAAUCGGAGUCACUGGGCUUAAAGGGUGCGUAGGCGGCGCCGCAAGUGCCUUGUGAAAUCCCACGGCUCAACCGUGGAAUUGCUCGGCAGACUGCGGCGCUUGAGGUCGGUAGGGGUCGCUGGAACUCUAGGUGGAGCGGUGAAAUGCGUAGAUAUCUAGAGGAACGCCAAAAGGUGAAGACAGGCGACUGGGCCCGAUUCUGACGCUGAGGCACGAAAAGCGUGGGGGGAGCGAACGGGG